rnacentral:lncRNA from 1 species
CCUUAUUCUAAUACCAAGAGCAGACAUUUGUACCUACUCUUGCAGUGUAGCAGAGCUAAAAAAAACUCUCCAGGAGUUGAGAGAUGGGAACAGUUUGAUUUUUUUUUUUACACUAAACACUAUCUGCAUACAUGUAGAACUAACAUAUCCCAAGGCUAUGUUGCUUUCCCUAUGUCUGACAAGGUUAACACAUCACCACUUUGAGGAUAUAUAGGGACUUAUCUGUAACCUGUCUUCAAGCUUCACUGGGCCAAAUAACCACACGACAGUUUGCUUACCAGUGGUUCCAAUCCCAACAGACUGUGUGUACACCUUCUAUGGUAUGUAAUAAUGUUCUGGCUAUGCUUGAUCCAAGAAGAGAAACACAAGUA